UGAGAUGUAGCCAAGUGGUAAGGCAUCAGGUUUUGAUCCUGACAUGCGAAGGUUCGAAUCCUUCCAUCUCAG
rnacentral:tRNA from 1 species